rnacentral:lncRNA from 1 species
CACGCGGUUCACGAGGUGGCCUUCACGAUCAUUUUAUUAUUAGAUUUCGACCGGAAUAUUUCUAAUAGCUCCAAGUAUUUAGAACUAUCGACUUUUUCACCAUUAAAUUUAUCCUUUAUACUAAUUUUAUCUCUUACGUAAACUAACAUUUACUAAAUCCAAGUGGGCCACUAUAUAUUAUUCUAAUCUCUCAAUCCCUUAAUCUGAAAGUUACAAACUAACGAACACAAUAAUUUAGUCAUAUUAGAAAUAUUCCAUCCUAAUUUUUAUUAUAGAGUUAAUUGCAUACACAUCCUUGCAAACAUAGUGAAAUGCACAUAUAUUCUCAACUUUCAUAUGUUAUUCUUGCAAAAGUCCUAAUAUAUUCAAAUAUGUCCCUCUGGUUAGGAUCCGUUAGAAAACUAUUUAUUUUUUAACAGUAGAUUCAUGAAAUGAUAUUUUUGCCCUCUUCCCCUUUCUCUUCCUUUUCGGGCUGCGGGAGCAGACGGUAGCGGCGACGGCGACGUCGCGGAGCUUGUCGGAUCGGCGGCACCAACGGGAGGUACGUCGCCCCGUACGCCCCGAUCGCGCACAGCAUCUCCCCGAUCUGA